UACGAAGGGGGCUAGCGUUGCUCGGAAUCACUGGGCGUAAAGGGUGCGUAGGCGGGUCUUUUAGUCAGGGGUGAAAUCCUGGGGCUCAACCCCAGAACUGCCUUUGAUACUGGCGAUCUCGAGUCCGGAAGAGGUGAGUGGGACUCCUAGUGUAGAGGUGGAAUUCGUAGAUAUUAGGAAGAACACCAGUGGCGAAGGCGGCUCACUGGUCCGGUACUGACGCUGAGGUGCGAAAGCGUGGGGAGCAAACAGG
rnacentral:rRNA from 1 species